rfam:Catenibacterium sp. CAG:290 genomic scaffold, scf52
CAAAUAAAAAAGGGGAGCUGACGCGACGGCUGAGAAGAAAUACGAUCGGAUUUCGACCCAUAAAACCUGAUACGGAUAAUGCCGGCGUAGGAAUUUUGUUUUUUAGGUAU